rnacentral:lncRNA from 1 species
AUGGUAACGUUUUUCCUGUAGCUCAGUCCAUAUCGUAAACUUGGAUAUGUAUGAUAGCUCGUUUCGAAGCUGUGACAUUUUCACAUAUGUGGUUAAAUUUUCGGGGUACGAAGUGAGAUUACUUUUCCCGUAAAUUAGCAAACCCCGAACAUCCUUUUGUGAUGCGGCUCCUUGUGGUAAAAUAUCCCCUUUUAACACAAUAAGUUCUUUGAAAAUUUA